rnacentral:rRNA from 1 species
AUGCACGCUGGCGGCGUGCCUAAUACAUGCAAGUCGCGCGAACAGACGAGGAGCUUGCCCCUUUGACGUUAGCGGCGGACGGGUGAGUAACACGUGGAUAACCUACCUAUAAGACUGGGCUAACUUCGGGAAACCGGAGCUAAUACCGGAUAACAUGUUGAACCGCAUGGUUCCACAGUGAAAGACGGUCUUGCUGUCACUUAUAGAUGGAUCCGCGCCGCAUUAGCUAGUUGGUAAGGUAACGGCUUACCAAGGCAACGAUGCGUAGCCGACCUGAGAGGGUGAUCGGCCACACUGGAACUGAGACACGGUCCAGACUCCUACGGGAGGCAGCAGUAGGGAAUCUUCCGCAAUGGGCGAAAGCCUGACGGAGCAACGCCGCGUGAGUGAAGAAGGUCUUCGGAUCGUAAAACUCUGUUAUUAGGGAAGAACAAAUGUGUGAGUAACUAUGCACGUCUUGACGGUACCUAAUCAGAAAGCCACGGCUAACUACGUG